rnacentral:rRNA from 1 species
GUGGGGAAUUUUGGACAAUGGGCGAAAGCCUGAUCCAGCAAUGCCGCGUGUGUGAAGAAGACCUUCGGGUUGUAAAGCACUUUUGGCAGGGAAGAAACAGUGCGUGCUAAUACCAUGCGCGAAUGACGGUACCUGCAGAAUAAGCACCGGCUAACUACGUGCCAGCAGCCGCGGUAAUACGUAGGGUGCAAGCGUUAAUCGGAAUUACUGGGCGUAAAGCGUGCGCAGGCGGCUUUGUAAGACGGAUGUGAAAGCCCCGGGCUCAACCUGGGAAGUGCAGUCGUGACUGCAAGGCUAGAGUGUGGCAGAGGGAGGUGGAAUUCCGCGUGUAGCAGUGAAAUGCGUAGAGAUGCGGAGGAACACCGAUGGCGAAGGCAGCCUCCUGGGAUAACACUGACGCUCAGGCACGAAAGCGUGGGGAGCAAACAGGAUUAGAUACCCGGGUAGUCC